AUGAUCGGCUUGCUCGAGAAGUUGGUUGAGGGGUGGACGUCUCUUAGUGGCUCUGACAGUGACGCGGUUGCGAGGCAGUUCACUUUGUUUGUCCCAGAACGGACACAUCGGUCAACUGGUUGCCGUGGCCGGUAUGACGACAACAAUUCCCAAGAGCUUGCUGACACACAAGAUGAACUAGAUGGAGAGGCUGGUCUGAGCAAGGAUGACGACGAUGACAUGGAGAACGCGGAAGAGGAAAUCGAUGAUGAUGAACAUGCUGAAGUUCGUGCAGGUGCUAACAAGGGGAAGGAUGCACCAUAUGUCCCCCCACCGGAGAAAGUCAAAGAACAUACGGCUGCGAGAGGCGAGGGGGUGUUGCCAUCAAAGAGGGGGAGGGCUCCAGAGGAUGUUGGGCAGGGUUCUCCUGGCAAGAGGGUGAAGAAGACUUCUACACGUGGGGCCAAGCAUAUCAGCAGGGACCCACUCGAACGCCUUCAUUCAAAGUUGUCAACAGGGGGCAACUCAGAUGUCCAUGAGGCCCCAGGCGACAAAACUGCGGCUGCACCGUCAACCGUUCCCACUAACUCUGACGCAAGUGGCCGACCAUCUCCGCCUGCUGCAGAUGUGCAUGCUAGAACAACAGACAUCUGUACAUCGGGGAGUGACAAGUCGGUAUCUGCCAGGACCGCUGAAAUAUUGCCCACUCUGCUGGCAAUGAAGGAUGCUCCUGUGAGCCACGCCACCCCAUCAGGAAGUGUUAAAGUGGAUGCCCCCGAGACCAACCUAAGCAAGGAAGAUUCCCGCUCAUCUGACACUGAUUCCAAGCGCGUGUGUGGUGGCACUCAUGUGCCCACGACAGAAGUUGCUAAGGCGACAGUUCAUAAUGAUAUGCCAUCUGCAGAAGACCAAAGUACAACUGAUGCAGGUGCCAAGCCGGGCAUGAGUGAUGAAGGUGAACGUCCGGAGCAGACUAUGCCUUUACCCACAGUGGAAAUCCCCAGCUUAAAUCUACGCACUUCCAAACUCCCAAUCAACAUCGGUGUCCCCUACAGCCCCAACAAGAGGAUUGUCAACAAAUCUACGCCCGUCACCACUGACAGCACACCCCGCCCUAUUGGCAAGCCUGAUGAUUCUGCAGCGGCUAUUCCAGAAGACAUGUUUGUUGAUCUUUCACCGUUGGAUUCUGCCCCGCAAAUUGUUCGCGGUCCGGCCAGUAGGCAUGAGAGGCACCCAAUGGCCUUCACCCCACCGAGCUUCAGCCUUGGCGUCAGUCAAGAUCAACCAGUGGCUCAAGAUCCUAUGCCAGUUGCCUUUGCUUUUCCUAGAGGCGUGCCCGCAAUGAUGGCGCAGCCAAUGGUUGAGGGCAGGAAGGCUGUCAAAUUCGUAGAGCCGGUCGUCCAAGCCACCGCUGAGGAGAUUUCACCAUCACUUGAUGAAGCUUACUGCAGGAUCGAGGAGGCAGCAUUGCAGAGGAGGUCCUCACGAGGGCAGGGGCAAUCAAGUUCCAACGUGCCUGCAAAUACGGUAUCUGAGGAUACAAUUAGGAGUGCCACCCCUGGUUCUAUGAGGCAGCAGAGGGUAGUUCACCCACCUCCCGCGGAAGACUACGAGCCCGAAUUCAGGGCCAGAAAAGAACAGAACCAGCUGUACGAUAUUGUCAAGCGGUUUGGAAAUGCGAGGUCCAGCAGCAAGCACAUGAAGGAGCUAAAAGCGUAA
rnacentral:rRNA from 1 species